GAUUCAGUAUCCUCAAACCGAUGGUGUUAGUCGGAUUAAAGUCAUCAAAUCUCGCGCACAAAACGUUUAUAGUUUGUUUUGUACAAAUCAAAAGAAAGAUAAACUGAAAAAUCCUCAAGUUGUAAAUUUUUAUCGUUCCAUGUGGAAUAGUGAAGUUAACAUUUUGAGCAAGUGUUGCAGAAUAUUAUACUUAAAUUGGUGAAUCGGUCUGUUAUUUUCAAAGUAUUAUCGAAGCUUCUCUGUCGAUAUGUAUCAUUAUUUUGCAAUUGAAAGUGACACCGUAGUACCGGUUGAGUAUGUGAUAAUAUUUAAAGUUUAAAUGUACUGGAAACUGGUUUUCUUAGUUCGAUAGAAACACAGAGAGAGAAAAAAUUGAAAUUUACCAAAGAAAUUGUUUAACAACAAAAUUUUGAAACGAUUUUUUUUCGCUGUUGUGAUUAUUUGAUUCGGUUGCCUAACUAAAUGAUAAACACUAUUUGUGAAAUAUAAAUUUGCAUAAAUGGUAAAAUCGUUACCUUUAACAAAAUCCGUGCAAAUCUUAGUGUAAAUUAAGUCGAAUACAAUUUUAUCGAAUUUUGGUGGAAUUUUAUACGUAACGUCCACUCUAGUGUGUUAUCUGAAAUUUAAAUUUUUAUUUUGAAUGUCGAGCUGGUGAUUCAGAGUCGUUCAAUAUUAUUGUUAUCGAAAUGAACUUUAGAAAUACCUUCACGGUAUGAAAAAAGGUGUCAUCACAAGGAACUGUUCAAUCAAAAAUAAAUAAAUAAAUCAGUGUGUGACUUUCACAGUAUUUUUUGUUAGUAAAAUGUGCUUAGUAAUGUGUUGAAAUGUCGACUGGAUCGGAAUAAAUUGUUAAUAUUGUACAAAAGGUGUUUCGUAGGAAAAAGAUCCAAAAAGGCAUCAUGGCUAUUCGACAACGUCACAAUAAAUACUUCUUCAUCACCGUAGCUGUAGUGGUACUAGUCUUUGUAGUAAAAUCAAAUGCAUAUUUGGACAACUUAAAUAAGCCAUGCAAAUAUCUGGACUCAAUCAACAUAACCGAUGGAGAGGAGAAUGAGGAUGAUGGUAGCAUAACGUUCGAGGGAGUCUAUUAUCCCAGCUACUUACACGCCGUUUAUGAUUACGAAUUUGUGAAUGAAUCGUAUCGACAGCCGGUAGCUCCACAUGUGCGUGGAUGUACGUGUAAACUGGCGCCGUGUGUACGAAUGUGUUGUCCACGUGGACAGUAUCUAUAUCGGACUAAUUGCUAUACAAAUGAUAGUGUAUCUGACUUAUCUGUGAGUGUUACAAGUGACGGACAGAGCUUUGAAGACGAGAAAGUUUUUGAAAUUUUUAAUUAUGUCGUCGGAAAACCGUGCCACGAAAUCAACCCGAUGGAACCAUCAAAAUAUGCGGACACUGAUACCUGGGUAUUGUUUCGGAACGGAAGUAUUCUAUUGGGCGACCCGCCAUCCGAAAUGCUGAGCAAAAAUAAAUAUUGCUUGAAUCCCAUACAAUACAACGAUACCAUCGAAAUAUCGCUGAUGACAUGCUUUAUUCCAGCUUCAGCUACCAAAGAUGCUUGGCUUCCAUAUGGAAUGUUCAUCAGCGUACCGUUCCUUGUCGUGACAAUACUGGUCUACACCAUCCUUCCCGAACUGAGAAAUGUGCAUGGUAAAUCGUUGGUGUGCUAUUUACUCGGAUUAAUUGUUGGCUACAUAACACUCGGUUGGAUCAAAUUGAAUGGAUCGGCCUAUGUCGAACCGAUACUGUGCCGAACAUUGGGCUACGUUGUCUAUUUCGCCUUUAUAUCGGCAUUCUUUUGGCUGAGUGUAAUCAGUUUUGAUUUGUGGUGGAAUUUCCGACAUUUUGUUGCUCUUGUAAAUAGUGGCAUGCACGGUAUCAGCAAAUUUGCUGAUUUGAAAAAAUUCUUGGUAUAUUCGGCAUAUGCAUGGGGUUCAACAAUAUUUAUGGUGGCACUGUGCUACCUAAUGGACGCUAGUUCCAACAUUUCAUCGAAUUUCCAACCAGGAAUGGGAGCAGAAACGUGCUUUUUGAAGAAGGCUCGACUGUCUGAAUUCUUAUAUUUGUACCUGCCAAUCAUUUUGAUAAUGAGCUGCAACUCCACAUUUUUCAUAUUGACAGCAUUGAAAAUACGUAAAGUGCAAAUGGAAAUGUCAAGAGUUACUGCCAAGGAGGAUAGCAAACGGCAUCAAAAGCAUUUGGAUAAUGAAAAAGCAAAAUUUGGACUGUUCUUUCGACUAUUUAUCGUAAUGGGUGUCACGUGGACAAUGGAAGCGAUUUCAUGGAUAAUAUCACCAGGUGGCUGGUAUUUUUAUGUAACCGAUUUAACGAACGCCAUACAAGGUGUCGUUAUAUUCUUCUUGUUUGUAAUGAAACCGAAAGUAAAAGAGCUCAUCAUAAAGAGACUUCAUCAGGUGUAUAAGUUUUAUACUGAAUCAACGUUCAUUGAUAAAGCAGCAACAACGUAUGCGUCUAAGCCCAGAUGAAUAAGAAAUCUCAGGAAUCUCAGCAAGAUUACUCGAAGCCGAUGACAUGACAAAUUUAUCGUUAUUAUAAAAUACUCUACAUGUAAUUAGAAUAGCUCUAAGCUUACAAGAAAACAUGGAUUUAAUUCAAAUCGAUUCGAACGAAAUUAUGUUCUGCCCUUCGAGAAUGCGAAAAAUGAAAUUUUAGACAAGAAAAUCGAUAAAAUUAAGAUGGAACAUUUGGCGUGGAAUAUCAUCGCCGAGGAAGCAAGGAACGAUUUCAACCAGUGGCACAACACGGACAUCGACAACUCGAACAUCUAAUAUAACGUUGAACACGAUCAAACCGAACGAAGUGGC